rnacentral:lncRNA from 1 species
UUUGGAUGACAUCUUUUAAAGGGCCUUCCUUUUUGGCAUGCUAUCAGAUUUUUUCCAUCGAAAAAGAGAGAGUUGGGGCGUGUGCUAGGGUGUGGAUGACUUCAUCUAGUGUGGAGAGAUCCUAGGGCUUCUAAGUUGGGCAUUGGGAUUUUAAGGGAAGUGAGAAAGUGUUCUCUAAUUCUUAUUCCUCUACCACUUCUUCCUCC